CUAUAAAUUGCUAUUAUUGACCCAGCUUUCCAGUUGACUAUUUGGUUUUCUGGUAUCCUUGAACUGAUCUGUCUUACCAUCUAUCUGAUUUCUGUUUUUUCUCGACCCUAGCUCAGGGGUGGGGAACCCUUUAUCGGCCAUUUGGAUAUUAAUUAUAUCAUUCAGGGGCCGUACAAAAUUAUCAGCUUAAAAAUUAGCCUGUUGUAUUU